AUGGCCGCAGUAUUUUGACUGUGCAAAGGUAGCAUAAUUAUUAGUUUUUUAAUUGAAAGCUUGUAUGAAGGGUUGGACGAGAUAAAAUCUGUCUUUAUUUAAAUUAAAAUAGAAUUUAACUUUUAAGUCAAAAGGCUUAAAUGUUUAUAAAAGACGAGAAGACCCUAUAGAUCUUUAUUAAAUUUAAACUUUGAUAAUUUAAGAUUAUUUUAAUUUAAAGUUUUAAUUUAAUUUUAUUGGGGUAAUAUAAAGAUUAAAUAAAUUCUUUUUAUUAAUAACAUUAAUUUAUGUAUGUAUGAUCCAUUAUUAUUGAUUAUAAGAUUAAGUUACCUUAGGGAUAACAGCGUAAUUUUUUUGGAGAGCUCAUAUCGAUAAAAAAGUUUGCGACCUCGAUGUUGGAUUAAAAAUUAGCUUGGGUGCAGAAGCUCAAGAUUUUGGUCUGUUCGACCAUUAAAUUUUUACAUGAUCUGAGUUCAGACCGGCGUAAGCCAGGUCGGUUUCUAUCUUUAUUUAAAUAAAAUAUUUUAGUACGAAAGGACCAAGUAUUUAAUAUAGUUAUAUUUAUUUUUUGAAUAAUAUU
rnacentral:rRNA from 1 species